GGAAGGAAUGUUGUUAGGCUUUUUUUUAGUCCUAAAGGCGUGCGGAGACACCUCUGUCUCUUUGCUCUUUUUCUCUUUUAUUACUCUUUUUUUUUUCUUUUCUUUUCCAUUAUAAUUAUACACCUGGCUCGUAUAAUCUAAAGUUCUACUAAGGUUGGCUGAUUUUCGAGCCAUAAACUAUUUCGAUUCUCAGCUUUCACUCUCAGACUUUUGGACCCUUAAAUUUCCACCAUCAACUUUCAUAUUCCCAAAAUUACAUCAUCUACUUUCGGAUUCAUGCUUAAACAUACAUUUCUAAUUGAACCAUUCAUUUAACCAGGAUUAACCACAAAUCCGCGUUUACUGUACCGCGAUUGCGAUUAACCCGACUAAUACCCAGACCCGUUAAGAAAACGACAUCGUUUUCAUUUCGUUUAACUCAUCAAAAAGAGAAAGAAAACGACGUCGUUUUCAUUCUUCUUCUUCUGCAAAAUCGAUUUGGUCGAUUAGGGUUCUUCAUUCGACAAUUUUAUAAGAAAAUGAGCACCAACAGCUACUACUCAUCCGCUUCCAGUUCAGGAUUUCGUGUCUGUCCUCCUUGUGUCCCCUCGAAAUGUUGGUGUGGAGAAGAGAUCAUUACAUUCACAUCGAAAACAAAGGAGAAUCCAUACAGGAGAUUCUACCGUUGUGCGAUAGCAAUGAAGGUACACAUUUCGAUUUUGUGAUAUAUUUGAUUGAUUGAAGGAGUAAAUGAUUGGAAAUUCUGUUUUAUAGAGAGAAAAUGAAGAGCACUUGUUCAAAUGGGUUGAUGAAGCUCUCUUGGACGAAAUUAAGAUGGUAAAUGAGAAGUGUAAGAGAGUUGCAGAGAAUAUUAGUGACCUCAGAAUGAACGUGAUGGCUAAUAUGGAGCUCCUUAAUAAAAACGGUAAGCAGAUGGAGGAAGAGCUGAUUAAGAAGAUGGAGGGUGAACUCUUGACCAUGAAGGAGAAUGUGGAAGAGCUAGGACAUGUUAUGGCAAAGUCAGCUUUGAAGACUGUAGGGGUUGCUGUUGUGAUUGUUGCAUCUAUUGUAUGGCUUUGGGGAAGAGUGUAGGUGUUGUUGAGGUUUUGGAGUGAAAUUGUAGUAUUGGAUUAGUCUCUGUUUUGAAGCUUGUCAGGGUUUGGCUAUGUUUGUCUUUGUUUUGGAUUGUGUAAGUGUCGAGAUUAAACGAUGGAGGGUUUGUGAAUCUAUCUAUGUUAUGUCUUAUGUGUCUUUGUCUAAUGUGAAUCGAUGCAUAACAUAAGAAUAGAUAAGAAUCCAUACAAAAGAGGGAUAAAGAACAUCCUAAACAUUAACCGAAUAAUACAUCAUCCUACAAAGCCUCAAGAGGAUAAAGAACAUCCUAAACAUUAACCGAAUAAUACAUCAUCCAAAAUAGACAAAAGAGGAUGAAGAUGGUUAAGAUUGUUCCAAAAUAGACAAAAGAGGAUUGAGAACUAGAACUAGUCCAACUGGUCCGAUUGAUCCCAUUGACUGCUUCUCUGAGUGAGUGUGAUUGUAUCAGCUCCAUGUGUUGUUUCUUGGAGCUCCAUUGUAGGCUGAGAUGUUCCAGCCUCCUAAAACAGAAACAACAUUCAAACAUGAGCACCGAAAUGGCUAACCAAACAGCAGCCUAAAACAGAAACAAACCUUAAUCUCUUGAUUCUUCUUCUUCCUACCCUUCUUCUCCUUUGGGAACUUCUUACAUCCAGCUGCAUUGUGACCUGCUUCACCACAUGAUUUGCAAUGCAUUACUACGCCCUUCUUUCCUACUUUUAAUCUCUGUGGACCCUUCUUCUUUGGUGACUCAUUUGGACCCUUGAUCCGAUGAUAGUUCUUCUUCUCACCUUUCUUUCUCCCAGGUGGAACAGGAUCUUGAAGUGGUGCAGUUAUUAAUCCUAAACCAGUAGGCCAAUACAUUUGCCCUCUAACUGGAUCCGGCCCGGUAUCAUACUGUUCUCGCCAAGCGAUAGUGUAAAACAUUGGAAUAACAAAAUCUUCAACAUCCUUACCCACAUCAUUGAUGGCCGCAUAGGCAUGUUCACACGGAAUCCCUGUGACUUGCCAUUUGCAGCAAGAGCAAUCCCACUCCUCAGUUUUCAAGCUCACAGCAUUAGAAUUCCCAUCAAACCAAACCUCAAAUUUCUCAUGCGUUCCUUUGGUCACUUCACAUUUAACAGCAAGUUCCCACUCCUCUUUCAGAAUCUCUGAGACAUACUCAGAUAUCUUCUUCUUCCAUUUCCCUAUCUUCGCCUUUCUCUUACUUAUACGUGCCAUAGCUUGUCUCCUAAUUGUUUCCAUCAUAGGCACCAAUGCCUUGGCCCUAGCUUUGACAAUUGUGGCAUUGAAAGACUCUGUUGCAUUGUUGUCUACAUCCUCACAGUAGCUGCCUAUUCUAAACCAAGAUCUGCACCAAGUAUUUGGUUCUUCCUUCAUGACAUCCUCAUACAAAGACAUGAUGUAAGCUCUCAUCUCAUUGAGAUUAGCUUUGUAUUGUGUAUCACUGUAACUCCAUGCUAGAUUCCAUACAAACUUCUUCAACAAAUCUAAUGAACCAUGUCGUUUUUUCAGAUUCUCCACUAUAUGCUUCACACAAGGUCUGUGUUCAGCAUUUGGCAAUGCAUUCUUGACAGCACUAAUAAUCCCCUGUCAAAUACAAACACAUUAGCAUCUAUAAAGCACUAUCAUCUAUACAUAAUUAAAUAAUCAGACAUAAGAUAAUACUAACCUUGCAACGAUCUGAUAUGACCACAUAGCCACUGCCAUCCUUUAGUUCCAAGUCAUGCUUCAGCUGAUUCAAAAACCAGAGCCAAUUCUCUGCAUUCUCAAACUGAACAGUUGCCCACGCCACUGGAUAGAUUUGGUUGUUCGCAUCAUGAGCUAUAGCAGUGAGCAGACAUCCCUUAACCGCAUGCUUCAAAAAUGUUCCAUCUAUCCCAAUGAGAGGCCUACAGAAGUAAAACGCAUUCUUCAUUGCUCCAAAACAAACAUAAAUCCGGUUGAAGACAUCAUUCUCGUUUGCAUCCCUAAUGGUAUCAACAAUUGCAGUUGAUCCUUUGUUUGUACUCAAGAUUUCUGCCACAUAGCCUCGAAGGUGUGCAAACUGUUGGGCAUAUUCUUCUUUCAGCCACUUAAGAGCUAGAAGUCUUCCAUCUUGCACUUGUCCAAUAGUACUAACUAGCUUCCAUUGCUCCUUGAUAUGCCUCUGAAUGUCAAGAGGCAUGAAAUUAGGCUGCAACCUUAGCUUAUCCAUAAACAAUCUACCAAUCACUCUCCUCUUCAACAGCUUGCAUUUUCCAUUAGAAGUACAAGAAUGAUCCAGACAUUUGGUCUUCAAAACCCACAAUUGCCUCUCGUGAGAGUAUGAGGCAUAGACAUACCAUUCACACUCCUUCCUUUGAGCACAUCUAAAGCUAAUUUUAUCUUUUUCCCACCUAUUUUGUUUAGCAUUUAUCCUAUGCUUCAUUGCAUAAUGCAAGACAACCUCUUUGAAUUCAAAACCAGUGAAGAAUGUUCUGCCUAUAGCUAACCUAUCAUCCGAAGCUAACCUAAUCUUCCUAUCUCUAGUGAUCACAUGAUCUUCUUCUUCAUUAUCACUUUCUGGUAUUUCGUUCCUUCUAAUCUUUAACUCAUCAUACCACAUAGCUACUGCUUCCUCUAUCUCGAACUCAAACCUCUCGGCCAAAUCUUCUUCCGGCUCAUCCUUCUUCUGUUUUCUCCUCUUCUUUUGACCUUCUUCAGCCUCUUCCUCCUUUCUUUUCUCUUCUCUCGUCCUCUUCUUUUGACUUUCAUCUCUGUCUCCAUCGUCUUCUAGAUUGAUGUCUCCAUCAGACGCUAUAUCACCAUCGUCUUCUCUAUUCUCCUCUCCAUCAGAUUCUCUGUCUCCAUCUAUCCCGACGUCGUCUCCCUCAACUCCGGUGGCUUCGUCCUCCUCGACUCCGCUAUCACCACUAUCACUUCCAUCGUCGGCUUCAAUGUCACUCUCUGGAGGUUCGAAAUCGGGGUCAUCUGGAUCGAUUUGGUAAAUCAAUCCUUCCUCCCACCAAUUCUUCAUUUCUCCCUAUUCGAAACCCAAAUCGAGACCCAGAAAUUCGAAUCGAAGAAGAAAACCCCAAAUCUCCUUUUGUCUUUCUCUCUCAAGAACCCUAAUUUCACAGUGUCGAGAUUAAAGAAGAACGACCAAAUCGAUUUGAGAGUUAAAGAAGAAUGAAAACGACAUCGUUUUCUUUCUCUUUUUGAUGAGUUAAACGAAAUGAAAACGACGUCGUUUUCUUAACGGGUCUGGGUAUUAGUCGGGUUAAUCGCAAUCGCGGUACAGUAAACGCAGAUUUGUGGUUAAUCCCGGUUAAAUGAAUGGUUCAAUUGGAAAUGUAUGUUUAAGCAUGAAUUCGAAAGUAGAUAAUGUAAUUUUGAGGAAUAUGAAAGUUGAUGGUGGAAAUUUAAGGGCCCAAAAGUCCGGGGUGAAAGCUGAGAAUCGAAAUAAUUUAUGGCUCAAAAAUCAGUCAUACUAACAUUGUAAUACAAAACAUGAUUUUGUAAGAUUGAUCUAGUUUUAGAAAAAUCACUUUUGGCUGAAGAUAAUAGGACCGACUUUUUCUUGUUGUAGUUGUGAGAUCUCAUAAAGAAGAAUUAUAGACUUAAGUGUUAUAUUAACCAAUUUUUAAUUUAAUUCUUCAUAUACAUUAUCUAUCUUAUUAAGUUUGGCUGGAAAAAUCUGUAAGUCAGUAAAUGUUUACUUCAAAAUGUAGAAUUCAUAAUUUUGUAUUUAGAAUAGUAGAAUUUAUCUCCAAAUUAGUAAACUAGAUUUUAGAUUGUCAUGAAAAGUGAUACAAACCAAUAAUUUUUUUGUAAACUAAGAUAGUGGAAAAAUCUGUAAGUC
rnacentral:sRNA from 1 species